AAACGUAAGUGGCGAACGUUAUCCGGAUUUACUGGGCGUAAAGCGCUCGCAGGCGGCUUCGUAAGUCUGACGUGAAAGCUCCCGGCUUAACUGGGAGAGGCCGUUGGAUACUGCGGAGCUUGAGGGCAGGAGAGGAGAGUGGAAUUCCCGGUGUAGCGGUGGAAUGCGUAGAUAUCGGGAGGAACUCCAGUGGCGAAGGCGACUCUCUGGCCUGACCCUGACGCUCAGGAGCGAAAGCGUGGGGAGCGAACAGGAUUAGAAACCCUAGUAGUCC
rnacentral:rRNA from 1 species